UCCUGGCUUCUCACCACUUCAGCCGUCGAGCGAAGGCCAUCCGUCGAGCGAAGACCAACUACGGAUGGCCAGCGGCUCCGGUAAGGCCAUGCCUUAUCUCUCUCUUUCUCACAUGGUACUCCUAGGUCUCGCUUUUUGGUCUCUCGACUCUCACCCCUGUUCUCUCUCUAUCGGCAUGUACCUGUUCCACAGACUCAAUCGAGACUAUUAGACCUUAGGUCCUUCUCCUCUUUUCCUCCUUUUUCUUUUCCCUAUGAUGUUUUGCCCACAUAUCUCUGAUCAAACCAUAUCACAGUUUCAAGUUUUUUUACCAAAGGUGUAGAUUGAUUCUCUUUUUUUUUUUUUUUCUUUCCCAUAUUUUUUCAUGGUGGACAUGUCUUUGGAAGAAUCGUAGCUCGGAGAGCAUUUGGAAAACUUGCUUUCUUGACUCUAGAGAUGAUUCAGGGACUAUUCAUCAGGUGCCCAUACAAGUUAACAAGUAGUUGGCAUCCAGUGAUGUAUGAGGAUAGUUGAACCUACAAAGUUGGCAGUACAGCCCCCUCUUUCAGAUGGCUUCUUGUUCACAGAACUGGAUAGUUUACAAGCUUGUUGUAUUGGAUGAUUACAAUUGCAAUGCUCAGUAAAUUCAGCAACCCAAUAUCCCUGAGACUUGUAGUGGCUUGUCUUCAUGGAGUGAGGACCAUUUUUCUCUAUUUUUAUUGAUCAUCGUAUCUUAUGGAGAUGGAUAAAGCUGACUCAGUGGCAAGCAAUCAAGGUGCCCAUAUUUUAUUUCCACUCCUUCAAAGGAGUCUCCCAGAUCCAAACAAUACAGAGUUGACACACUGAAAGAAUGGAUCAGUAAGCUGGGGAAAAAAACUGGUAGAUUCACACAUGGAGUUUGUGAGCAUGUUAGAUUGGGGCCCAAGGUAUCUAUAACUGUGAAGGGAAAAUUGAGGUUGGGUGCCAGAGUUCUUCAAGAAGGUGGUGUUGAGAAGUUAUUCAAGCAGAUCUUCAAAAGUUGAAGGUAAAGAUGACUAUGCUGUAUAUAAAUUGUCUGAGUAUGAUUCAUUCAGUCUACAAAGAGGGGGGGUAUACCCUUGGGUUAAAUUGACUAUGCUGAAGGUGUUGUAGAAUUUUUAAAUCAACAGUUGAACAACAAUAAAAUGGUACUUGGAGCAUAUGAUGUGAUUCUUGAAUGUGCUUCUAUUUGCGUAAUCCUUGGUUUUGUGAAACUUCUCUUGGGUCAUAAGUGUUUAGAAUUGGACUUGAUGGACAUA